rnacentral:rRNA from 1 species
CCUACGGGCGGCAGCAGUGGGGAAUAUUGGGCAAUGGGCGCAAGCCUGACCCAGCAACGCCGCGUGAAGGAAGAAGGCUUUCGGGUUGUAAACUUCUUUUGUCAGGGAAGAGUAGAAGACGGUACCUGACGAAUAAGCCACGGCUAACUACGUGCCAGCAGCCGCGGUAAUACGGAGGAUGCGAGCGUUAUCCGGAUUUAUUGGGUUUAAAGGGUGCGUAGGCGGGACCUUAAGUCAGCGGUAAAAUUGCGGUGCUCAACGCCGUAGAGCCGUUGAAACUGGGGCUCUUGAGUGAGCGAGAAGUGUGCGGAAUGCGUGGUGUAGCGGUGAAAUGCAUAGAUAUCACGCAGAACCCCGAUUGCGAAGGCAGCAUACCGGCGCUCAACUGACGCUGAGGCACGAAAGUGCGGGUAUCGAACAGGAUUAGAUACCCGUGUAGUC